GACUCUGCGUUCCUGUCAAACUUCCCUGUCAAGGAAGCCAGUACACUUUCUCUUUGGUGGGAUCAGGCCUGAGCUUUGCAGACCUUUUCCGUCUGGUGGCUUUCUGCUGCAUCAGCAGGGAUGUGCUGCCCUUACUCUGAAG